UCAUUCACGCCUCUCACUCUCAUCUCAGGUCUCUAUAUCGAUGGUGUCUCUCUCUCUUCUCUUUCCCAUCUCAGACUGAGUUCUCUCUCACAUUCUCAUCCAUCUCAGAUCAGAUCGGUGUGCUGCUGCUCAUCUCUCUCUGUCGGUGAGCUCUCUCUCUCUCUCGGAUCGAUGACUAUUUUUGUUCAUUUGUUCCCAAAUCAUCCAUCUCAGAUUAGAUCGAUAGCUAUAGCUGUUGCCUCUUUCUUUCGAUCAUCCAUCGCAGAUUAGAUCGAUUGUUCAUGUCAUCUACAAUGGAUUCGGUAAAUGAGUUCAAAAGGAGCUUAGAUGGGUUUGGAAGCGGUGAGGUUCCACAGGAGCAGGUUGCUGUAGGCUAUAGAGGAGAAGGAUUUGACAGUAGAAUCUUCCCGUCAACAGUAUAAAGGAGCCAUUUUUGGAUGGAUUUUUGCAUUUAUAGAGGCAUCGGGAGUGUUGGAGGGGCUUGGAAGCUGCUGGCAAUGAUAUCGACGAUGCAAAAAUAGUAAUGUCUAGAGCCAACAACGGGAACGAGAACGAAAACGAGAACGAGAACGGGAACGACCUCAAUUGAAACAAGCUCCUCUUUGAAGAACAAUCAGCUUAUCUCAUAAUGAGUUUCAGGUCUCGUUUGUCAAUUAUAUAUUUUAGUUAAAAAGUCAUUAUAAGUUAUCAAAUCACUCUUUCUACUUUUCUGCACAUCUUUCGUAAAAUGUCAAAAAAUUACUAAAAUAACAUGUUCCCGAACUAGGCCUAAUAUCCCCUAAAAGUUUCCUAAAAAGUUGCGGGAGAGAGAGAUAGAUAAGCGGGGUACAUGUUUGGCAAUAUAUUUUUUGGCUUUUUGAGCUAAAAUAGUACUAAGGCCUCGUUUGGAAAUAAACUAUUUUAGUAAUUUUUUAAUUUUUUACGAAAAGAUGUACAAAAAAGUAGAGAAUAUGAUGUGACA